rnacentral:rRNA from 1 species
AGUGAACGCUGGCGGUAGGCCUAACACAUGCAAGUCGAACGGCAGCACAGAGGAGCUUGCUCGUUGGGUGGCGAGUGGCGGACGGGUGAGGAAUACAUCGGAAUCUAAUCUGUCGUGGGGGAUAACGUAGGGAAACUUACGCUAAUACCGCAUACGACCUACGGGUGAAAGCAGGGGAUCUUCGGACCUUGCGCGAUUGAAUGAGCCGAUGUCGGAUUAGCUAGUUGGCGGGGUAAAGGCCCACCAAGGCGACGAUCCGUAGCUGGUCUGAGAGGAUGAUCAGCCACACUGGAACUGAGACACGGUCCAGACUCCUACGGGAGGCAGCAGUGGGGAAUAUUGGACAAUGGGCGCAAGCCUGAUCCAGCCAUACCGCGUGGGUGAAGAAGGCCUUCGGGUUGUAAAGCCCUUUUGUUGGGAAAGAAAUCCAGCCGGCUAAUACCUGGUUGGGAUGACGGUACCCAAAGAAUAAGCACCGGCUAACUUCGUG